CCUACGGGUGGCAGCAGUGGGGAAUAUUGGUCAAUGGGCGCAAGCCUGACCCAGCAACGCCGCGUGAAGGAAGAAGGCCUUCGGGUUGUAAAACUCUUUUGUUAGGGAAGUGUAAAAGAGGGUACCUGACCAAUAAGCUACGGCUAACUACGUACCAGCAGCCGCGGUAAUACGUAGGUGGCAAGCGUUAUCCGGAUUUACUGGGUGUAAAGGGCGUGUAGCCGGAUUGACAAGUCAGAUGUGAAAGCCUGCGGCUUAACCGGAGAAUUGCAUUUGAAACUGUUGAUCUUGAGUACAGGAGAGGAGGAUGGAAUUCCUGGUGUAGCGGUGAAAUGCGUAGAUAUAAGGAGGAACACCAGUGGCGAAGGCGGUUUGCUGGACAGCAACUGACGCUGAGGCGCGAAAGCGUGGGUAGCAAACAGGAUUAGAUACCCGGGUAGUC
rnacentral:rRNA from 1 species